rnacentral:rRNA from 1 species
GAUGAACGCUGGCGGCGUGCCUAAUACAUGCAAGUCGGACGGAGCGCUUCGGCGCUCAGUGGCGAACGGGUGAGUAGCACAUGGGCAACCUGCCCUUCAGAGGGGGACAACAGCUGGAAACGGCUGCUAAGACCGCAUAAGACCACGAGGUCGCAUGGCCACGGGGUAAAAGAUUUAUCGGUGUAGGGUGAGCUCGCGUCCCAUUAGCUAGUUGGUGAGGUAACGGCCCACCAAGGCGACGAUGGGUAGCCGACCUGAGAGGGUGAUCGGCCACAUUGGAACUGAGACACGGUCCAG